GACGAACGCUGGCGGCGUGCCUAACACAUGCAAGUCGAACGGAACUGUUUUGAAAGAUUUCUUCGGAAUGAAUUUGAUUUAGUUUAGUGGCGGACGGGUGGGUAACGCGUGAGUAACCUGCCUUCAAGAGGGGAAUAACAUUCUGAAAAGAAUGCUAAUACCGCAUGACAUAUCGGAACCACAUGGUUUUGAUAUCAAAGAUUUUAUCGCUUGAAGAUGGACUCGCGUCCGAUUAGUUAGUUGGUGAGGUAACGGCUCACCAAGACCGCGAUCGGUAGCCGGACUGAGAGGUUGAACGGCCACAUUGGGACUGAGACACGGCCCAGACUCCUACGGGAGACAGCAGUGGGGGAUAUUGCGCAAUGGGGGCAACCCUGACGCAGCAACGCCGCGUGAAGGAUGAAGGUUUUCGGAUUGUAAACUUCUUUUAUUAAGGACGAAAAAUGACGGUACUUAAUGAAUAAGCUCCGGCUAACUACGUG
rnacentral:rRNA from 1 species